rnacentral:rRNA from 1 species
AUCCUCCAAGGCUAAAUACUCCUGACUGACCGAUAGUGAACCAGUACCGUGAGGGAAAGGCGAAAAGAACCCCGGCGAGGGGAGUGAAACAGAACCUGAAACCGUGUACGUACAAGCAGUGGGAGCCCCACCACUAAGCCAGUGGUGAACUCCACAUACGCAUCCUUUGCGGAAGAUGCGGUUAACGGCGCGAAAGCGACGUUCAACCUCAGAAGAAGCAGAGGGGGCUUAGUGGUGGGGUGACUGCGUACCUUUUGUAUAAUGGGUCAGCGACUUAUAUUCUGUAGCAAGGUUAACCGCAUAGGGGAGCCGAAGGGAAACCGAGUCUUAACCGGGCGUUAAGUUGCAGGGUAUAGACCCGAA